UGAAAAACUUAUAAAUAGUAAUUGGGCAUCUUCAAAAAAAAAAAAAAAAAUUCCAGCAGGGUACUGAACUCUGCCCAGCUGUCUGUUUUAAAACUAAAUGCUUUGGGGUGCAAGCCCAUCCUUUUUCUGGCCCAUCAAGAUCGAAAGAACCAGAUCAUUGGGGACAUGAUCCAUCAUGUUGAGCCAGCAGAAGGUGUUGUCCAGGAAAUCCUUUCCAAGAUGAGGAAGCUUUAUGAGCACCUACUGAGAAAAUUAGCUACCAGUGAAAAGGAGACAGCAGCAGGACCGGUCCCAGUGGUGGAGGGAGACCCAAUGGCUGAAGAACAAUUUCUACUUAAUCUCAUCCCUGUGUCAACUUCUUCCCCCUCUCUACCUCCUACUUCCCCCUCUCUACCUCCUCCUUCUCUCUCUCUCUACCUACCUCUCUCUCUCUACCUUCUGCUCCCUCCUCUCUACCUCCUCCUUCUCUCUCUACCUACUUCUCUCU